rnacentral:rRNA from 1 species
UACAGGGGUCUCAAGCGUUGUUCGGAUUCAUUGGGCGUAAAGGGUGCGUAGGUGGCGUGGUAAGUCGGGUGUGAAAUUUCGGAGCUUAACUCCGAAACUGCAUUCGAUACUGCCGUGCUUGAGGACUGGAGAGGAGACUGGAAUUUACGGUGUAGCAGUGAAAUGCGUAGAGAUCGUAAGGAAGACCAGUGGCGAAGGCGGGUCUCUGGACAGUUCCUGACACUGAGGCACGAAGGCCAGGGGAGCAAACGGG